UUUUAUGUUCAAGCUGGUUAUAUGUUUUAGCACACCUUUAUAAUUCCUUAAACAUGAAUAUAUAUAUCAAGCUGGUUAUAUGUUUUAUCCACAACAGUCACAUUAUUUUAACUUGCCACGUGCAUGAGAUCGUGUCUGGAUGCAGCUUGAAUAGCUAAUACGGUGAAUUAUCGUCAUUUUCAUGUAGGCAUAAAACUUGCUCGUGUAGCCUGCGAACUUAUGUGUAUGCAAUUCGAAUGUCUAAUAGCGCUGUGAUUUUCCAGAUGUUUUAAAACAAUACCUUACUAAAUUGGCUCAGGGUUUACAGUAUUUCAUAAGCUCGUUUACAAGUCUCUGAUAUUGGCCUAUCUACAGACUUGAUGUGUAUGGGCCCCUGACAUUUUUCCAUGAAAAUAAGUAUUUCUUCCAUUGAGUUUUUGAUCGCUACACAUGUUUUUGUAGGUAUAUAUUCAGUUUAUUUCCGUUGUGUGCAUUGAAAUUACCCCAAAAAACGGAGAAAAAGGCAAAUUUGACAUAAUUUCUUAACCAUUUUAUGAAUUUUGUGUGAAAUUAUAUCAGAGUUGCUUUUUUCUCUGAGAAAAAUACCUAAUUUAAUAGAAAAAAGUCUAAAGUCAUUCUAAAAUCUCUUACAUUGGAUGAAUUAGGGCUGAAGGUUAUAUAGCAAUGCACAUAAACAUUUUAAACUUCUGUCUAUGAAGAUUCUCAGUCAUCCAGGUCAUGGUCAAGGUUGAAGAGUUCUGUUAGGCAACACAGGGGGCCAACUCCUCAGGACAGGACUCAGCUGUUCACAUACACCUCAAGGACAAAACACACUCCUUCGAGGACAACAACCUUUGUCAACCUGGAAAAAACACCACUCAACAGGAAGCCAUAUUUCAUUUCAAUGCCAUUGUGGCAAGCUCCCUCUUCUUUAAUGGGCAGUUUAAAAGUCUCCAUAAGAUGAAGUUCCCAGCAGAGAGUCUUUGGCUGUGUCGUGAGAAUAUUACUGCACAUUGGAUUCUUGUGAUCUGUUUCCAAAAUAUUUGAUUUCUGAUGACUCAGUACUUUGACAAAUUUUCUCUUUUGUUAUGUGGACAUAUUUAAAAAUGAAGUCUUGGCUGGA